rnacentral:misc_RNA from 1 species
CAACUUCCACCUGGCUUWCCUCCUCAGUUAUGCGUCAAGGCUUGUAUCGCCUGGAGCGUAUUGUGGGUUUCCUGUGUUGCAUACCUAAUUGACGGUAUUGUUUAAAUUGAUUGAAGUCCCUUUUCGUCUUGUGUUGCAUAUGUGACGCAUGAUGAACCUUGAAGCGGUCUCUAUGAUCCAUCAUGUUGAUGCAAAUGUAUCGAUUGUGUGGCCCAUUGAGCAUUGCUUGGUCUCUUGGAUACGGAACAUGAUGUGGGCAUAAGGUCUCUUAUGAUCCUUGUUUUGCCCUCGUUCAGUGUUCUCUAGAACGACAGUUCACGCGCGCCUAGGCUCGUACCUGCGCGGUGUUCUAUGUCGAAGAGGAAUGCUACCUGGUUGAUCCUGCCAG